UACGGGGGGGGCAAGCGUUGUUCGGAAUUACUGGGCGUAAAGGGCUCGCAGGCGGCCAACUAAGUCGGAUGUGAAAUCCCCAGGCUUAACCUGGGAACUGCAUCCGAUACUGGAUGGCUUGAAUUCGGGAGAGGGAUGCAGAAUUCCAGGUGUAGCGGUGAAAUGCGUAGAUAUCUGGAGGAAUACCGGUGGCGAAGGCGGCAUCCUGGACCGACAUUGACGCUGAGGAGCGAAAGCUAGGGGAGCAAACGGG
rnacentral:rRNA from 1 species